rnacentral:rRNA from 1 species
UGAGGAAUAUUGGUCAAUGGCCGUAAGGCUGAACCAGCCAAGUCGCGUGAGGGAAGACGGCCCUACGGGUUGUAAACCUCUUUUGCCGGGGAGCAAAAGACGCCACGCGUGGCGUUUCGNGAGUACCCGGAGAAAAAGCAUCGGCUAACUCCGUGCCAGCAGCCGCGGUAAUACGGAGGAUGCGAGCGUUAUCCGGAUUUAUUGGGUUUAAAGGGUGCGCAGGCGGGCUUCCAAGUCAGCGGUAAAAUCGCGGGGCUCAACCCCGCCCAGCCGUUGAAACUGGGAGUCUCGAGUGGGCGAGAAGUAUGCGGAAUGCGUGGUGUAGCGGUGAAAUGCAUAGAUAUCACGCAGAACCCCGAUUGCGAAGGCAGCAUACCGGCGCCCGACUGACGCUGAGGCGCGAAAGCGUGGGGAGCAAACAGG